UACGUAGGGGGGCAAGCGUUGUCCGGAAUCAUUGGGCGUAAAGCGCGCGUAGGCGGCCCUGUAAGUCCGUUGUGAAAGUCAAAGGCUCAACCUUUGAAAGCCGAUGGAUACUGCAGGGCUAGAGUACGGAAGAGGCGAGUGGAAUUCCUGGUGUAGCGGUGGAAUGCGCAGAUAUCAGGAAGAACACCAAUGGCGAAAGCAGCUUUCUGGGACGGUACUGACGCUGAGAACGCGGAAAGCGUGGGAGCGA
rnacentral:rRNA from 1 species